AGAGACAGAAAGAAUAAUAUUAUGAAUGAUUGUCUUUAGUAUAUUCCGCUACAACCCGCAUUAAUAUAUACGUAAGUAACAUACGUACUUACGUACAGUCUGCGGAUGACCUCCGAAGACGCAGAUCGUGGGUCUUGGCAAGCGACCUCGAGUGCCCUCGAGGUAAACUCUCGAAGGUAACUCGAAAGAAGGAGAAGAGAACGAAGAAUGAAGAGAAGAGGAGAGGAGUGAAGAGAAGAGGAGAAGAGAGUUCAAGGAGGCGAGAGAGAUUCAAACGAGUUCCAUCCUAUUUCGUCCAUUUUUUUUUUCUUCUCCGUCAUAUAUUUUCGAUCGAACGAAGCGACUGUUAAAUGGCAAUUAAGGGAUCAACAUGUGGUUACUUACUUUUCACAACCUGUGGGCGCAACCCGAAAAAAAAAAGAAAAGGAGAAUCCAUGUUCCAUGGUUUGGCCAUGGAUAAACCGAAGAGAGGCGGAAAUUAAGUGAAGGGUUUUAUAGAGCCAUGCGACAUUCCUGAGAAACCGAAAGGAUCGAGAAACAGAGAGAGAGAGAGAGAGAGAGAGAGAGAUUGAAAGUCGAGGACAUUAAACUCUACCCGUUGCCACGA